rnacentral:misc_RNA from 1 species
AAGUCGUAACAAGGUUUCCGUAGGUGAACCUGCGGAAGGAUCAUUAACAACAUAUCCUAACUUAAAAACCCUGUGAACUUUCAAAUUCGGAGACCUCUGAAUAACCUUGGGCGGUCGCGGUUGGUAAGGCAAGUGACCCGGUACCCUCAAGACCAGUGUUCAAUGAUCUGUCAGUGUUCAUUGACUGGAAUCAAACGUUCUGUCAGUGUGCGUUUGAUUUGCAAGGGUGGCGCAGUAAACGAUCGCUGGAGGCCGACACGGCCGGCGACUGGGUCAGCGAGCUUUGCUCCCACUGUUACUACUUACAAGAUUUCCCAAUUAGUGAAAGCUAUUGGGCUAUAACUAAACGACUGUUAACAAUGGAUAUCUCGAUUCUC